rnacentral:rRNA from 1 species
UACGAAGGGGGCUAGCGUUGCUCGGAAUCACUGGGCGUAAAGCGCACGUAGGCGGAUCUUUAAGUCAGGGGUGAAAUCCUGGAGCUCAACUCCAGAACUGCCUUUGAUACUGGGGAUCUCGAGUCCGGGAGAGGUGAGUAGAACUCCGAGUGUAGAGGUGAAAUUCGUAGAUAUUCGGAAGAACACCAGUGGCGAAGGCGGCUCACUGGCCCGGUACUGACGCUGAGACGCGAAAGCGUGGGGAGCGAACAGG